rnacentral:rRNA from 1 species
AGAGUUUGAUCAUGGCUCAGAUUGAACGCUGGCGGCAGGCCUAACACAUGCAAGUCGAACGGUAACAGGAAGCAGCUUGCUGCUUUGCUGACGAGUGGCGGACGGGUGAGUAAUGUCUGGGAAACUGCCUGAUGGAGGGGGAUAACUACUGGAAACGGUGGCUAAUACCGCAUAACGUCGCAAGACCAAAGAGGGGGACCUUCGGGCCUCUUGCCAUCAGAUGUGCCCAGAUGGGAUUAGCUUGUUGGUGGGGUAACGGCUCACCAAGGCGACGAUCCCUAGCUGGUCUGAGAGGAUGACCAGCCACACUGGAACUGAGACACGGUCCAGACUCCUACGGGAGGCAGCAGUGGGGAAUAUUGCACAAUGGGCGCAAGCCUGAUGCAGCCAUGCCGCGUGUAUGAAGAAGGCCUUCGGGUUGUAAAGUACUUUCAGCGGGGAGGAAGGUGUUGUGGUUAAUAACCGCAGCAAUUGACGUUACCCGCAGAAGAAGCACCGGCUAACUCCGUGCCAGCAGCCGCGGUAAUACGGAGGGUGCAAGCGUUAAUCGGAAUUACUGGGCGUAAAGCGCACGCAGGCGGUCUGUCAAGUCGGAUGUGAAAUCCCCGGGCUCAACCUGGGAACUGCAUUCGAAACUGGCAGGCUUGAGUCUUGUAGAGGGGGGUAGAAUUCCAGGUGUAGCGGUGAAAUGCGUAGAGAUCUGGAGGAAUACCGGUGGCGAAGGCGGCCCCCUGGACAAAGACUGACGCUCAGGUGCGAAAGCGUGGGGAGCAAACAGGAUUAGAUACCCUGGUAGUCCACGCCGUAAACGAUGUCUACUUGGAGGUUGUGCCCUUGAGGCGUGGCUUCCGGAGCUAACGCGUUAAGUAGACCGCCUGGGGAGUACGGCCGCAAGGUUAAAACUCAAAUGAAUUGACGGGGGCCCGCACAAGCGGUGGAGCAUGUGGUUUAAUUCGAUGCAACGCGAAGAACCUUACCUGGUCUUGACAUCCACAGAACUUUCCAGAGAUGGACUGGUGCCUUCGGGAACUGUGAGACAGGUGCUGCAUGGCUGUCGUCAGCUCGUGUUGUGAAAUGUUGGGUUAAGUCCCGCAACGAGCGCAACCCUUAUCCUUUGUUGCCAGCGAUUAGGUCGGGAACUCAAAGGAGACUGCCAGUGAUAAACUGGAGGAAGGUGGGGAUGACGUCAAGUCAUCAUGGCCCUUACGACCAGGGCUACACACGUGCUACAAUGGCGCAUACAAAGAGAAGCGACCUCGCGAGAGCAAGCGGAUCUCAUAAAGUGCGUCGUAGUCCGGAUUGGAGUCUGCAACUCGACUCCAUGAAGUCGGAAUCGCUAGUAAUCGUGGAUCAGAAUGCCACGGUGAAUACGUUCCCGGGCCUUGUACACACCGCCCGUCACACCAUGGGAGUGGGUUGCAAAAGAAGUAGGUAGCUUAACCUUCGGGAGGGCGCUUACCACUUUGUGAUUCAUGACUGGGGUGAAGUCGUAACAAGGUAACCGUAGGGGAACCUGCGGUUGGAUCACCU